rnacentral:rRNA from 1 species
AGAGUUUGAUCCUGGCUCAGGACGAACGCUGGCGGCGUGCCUAAUACAUGCAAGUCGAGCGGACUUAAAAAGCUUGCUUUUUAAGUUAGCGGCGGACGGGUGAGUAACACGUGGGCAACCUGCCUGUAAGACUGGGAUAACUUCGGGAAACCGGAGCUAAUACCGGAUAAUCCUUUUCUACUCAUGUAGGAAAGCUGAAAGACGGUUUACGCUGUCACUUACAGAUGGGCCCGCGGCGCAUUAGCUAGUUGGUGAGGUAACGGCUCACCAAGGCGACGAUGCGUAGCCGACCUGAGAGGGUGAUCGGCCACACUGGGACUGAGACACGGCCCAGACUCCUACGGGAGGCAGCAGUAGGGAAUCUUCCGCAAUGGACGAAAGUCUGACGGAGCAACGCCGCGUGAGUGAUGAAGGUUUUCGGAUCGUAAAACUCUGUUGUUAGGGAAGAACAAGUACGAGAGUAACUGCUCGUACCUUGACGGUACCUAACCAGAAAGCCACGGCUAACUACGUGCCAGCAGCCGCGGUAAUACGUAGGUGGCAAGCGUUGUCCGGAAUUAUUGGGCGUAAAGCGCGCGCAGGCGGUCCUUUAAGUCUGAUGUGAAAGCCCACGGCUCAACCGUGGAGGGUCAUUGGAAACUGGGGGACUUGAGUGCAGAAGAGAAGAGUGGAAUUCCACGUGUAGCGGUGAAAUGCGUAGAGAUGUGGAGGAACACCAGUGGCGAAGGCGACUCUUUGGUCUGUAACU